CCAAUUACAAGUCAAUGAAUCGAUCAGCUACCUUCUAAGAUUACAUCGAGGCAAAAAAGUAUCCGCAAAGCUUUGUUAAAGGAGAAAACGAAUGGUGAAAUCUAAAAGGGAGAAGAAGUCGGACUGCGUAAUUAGAAAUUUUUACCCAAAAUUCAACAUUUUUUAUGGUCUUUCUUUUUUCUCUAUCUGUCUUCCAGUUUGGAGAGGGAAUUAAUGUGAGAGAAAAGUUUGACAGAAAAAUCUUGAUAAAAUGUAUUGCUUUUCUUUGUUUUUCACCACUAACGUCUAGGUUUGGAACAAACAGAUGAAGAAGCGGGAAAAGAAACAGAUAAAUCCUCAUCAAAAUCAAACUCCAAAACCGACAUCCAAUCCCUCAAGCAGGAUUCAUCAUCAUCUUCGGCUUCCAAAGCACUAACCGAUGAGCAAAAAAUCGACGAUUUAAACCUUCCGCGACAGGAGGUGAUUCGCCGCCAUAGAUUUCUUUAAUAACCGGUGACUUUGUUCGGAGAAGUUGAUGCGGCGAGGUGAAUAGGGGUUAAUUUAAUGAUUUCGGAAAGGGGCUUAUUUUCUUUGUUUUUUUAAAGAUUAUUGCAGUGACAUACUUAAUUUAGGUGAUUUGCGC
rnacentral:lncRNA from 1 species